UACGAACCGUACAAACGUUAUUCGGAAUCACUGGGCUUAAAGGGUGCGUAGGCGGCCAUGUAAGUGGGGUGUGAAAUCCCUCGGCUCAACCGAGGAACUGCGCUCCAUACUGCAUGGCUUGAGGGAGACAGGGGUAAGCGGAACUGAUGGUGGAGCGGUGAAAUGCGUAGAGAUCAGGAAGAACACCGGUGGCGAAAGCGCUCUGCUGGACCUUAACUGACACUGAGGGACGAAAGCUAGGGGAGCGAACGGG
rnacentral:rRNA from 1 species